UCUUUGAAAGAAAAGAGAACAAAAGCUAAAGACAAAGUAUGCACCAAAGUAAAUUCCAGGUGGAUUGAAGAAUUAAUGUUUGUUAGACGUGAAAUGAUCAAAGCAUUGUAAAGUGUAAAAAGAGGUGAGGUUUAUCUGAGCUUGGAGGUGGGGAAGGCCUUUUUAAUCAUAAUUACGAAAGAAGUAUAAUUCAAGGAGAAGAGAUUUAUGCAUUAACAACAUAAAAAUGAAAAAUUACAUUAUACAAAAAGCACCCCCAACCAAAGAAAACUAAAAGGCAAGUGACAAAAUGGGAAAUAUGGAAACCUGUUAAUAUCCUUAGUAGUCUAUAAAGGAAGAUAAUAAUGAAACAAUACAUAUCUAAAAAAUGUGAAGGCACAAAGAAAACAUUCACCUAAACGGAAGUACAAAUGGCUAAAAAAUACAUGUAGAAAGCAUUUAACAUUCUAAUUUAAAACAUUAGGUUAUAACAGUGUUUAGAUAGUAAUUUCUACCAUCAAUCUUGGCAAACAGGAAAAAGUAAUAAACUGUAUGAUUGUGCUGUGAAACGUACACGUCUGUAAAUUGCUGGUGAGAGUGGAAUUUGGUGCCAGUGUUCUGGGGACAUUUGCUGAUCUGUAACUGUAAGGCUUUUGUACUAACUUCAGCAAAGGAGAUCCAUGUCUAGGAAUUUACCUUAACUAGAAAUGAAUGCAGAUGAUUCUUUUGAAAAUUAUUUGUAACUUUAUUAUCGUUAGAGGAAAACUGGAAAGAACUCAGCUCUCCAACUAUAGGACACAGGCUAAGUAGAGAGUCGCAGAUAUACUCAUGAAAUACCCUGCAGCCAUUAAAAGUCUAAAUAUUAAAAUAGGAUUUGGGAAAUUGUUCAUAAUAAAUUAAGGGGAAAAAGCAGGUUGCAAAACAGUGUGUAUAAAGAAUGCUAUCCAAAUUUUAUUUUAAAAAAUAAGUAUUUAUUGCAUAAAGAAAUGUUAAUUCUGGUUCACAUCUUUUGAAAGAUGUCAUUAUAAGGAUCUUAUUUUCUUUCUUAAUUUCUUUGUACUUUCAGACAUUUCCCGUCAUCAAUAUGCAGUACAGUUAACCCCUGAACAACACAGGUUUGAACUGCACACACAGGUCCACUUAAUACAUGGAGAUUUUUCAACAAAUAUAUUGGAAAAAUUUUUUGGAGAUUUGUGACACUGAAAAAAACCUGCAGACAGACCGAAUAGCCUAGAAAUAUUGAAAAAAGUAAGAAAAUGUAGGUAUGUCAUGAAUGCGUCAAAUAUAUGUAGAUACUAGCCUGUCCUUACAUAGGCAUGAGGUGAUAGUUGAAAUAAAACGUGUUAGUUUUCUUACUGUUUUAUAGCUUCGCUCUCAGAGAAUUACAUUACCGUACAGUAUGCCUCUCUCUAAUUGGGGAAGCUGUGUAUCAGCCUAUCAUCACGGGUGAGUGAUUUUUAUAAAAAUGUAACAAUGUUUCCAAUACUUUAUUAUGAAUAGGACUGUAACACCAUAUGCCAUAAAAAUUUUAUAACUGUUCAUUAGUGUAGAGGCUGGGCUGCUGUGAAGCAAUUGUAUCAUGACACUAGCUGACUGUAAAGUAAUCAUAUUGCUGCUGCUUCGUUAUACCUGUAUAUAGGAAUUUCUUUUUCACGUUAUCUUUUUUUUUGUUUAACAUCUUUAUUGGAGUAUAAUUGCUUUACAAUGGUGUGUUAGUUUCUGCUUUAUAACAAAGUGAAUCAGUUAUACAUAUACAUAGAGGGAAGAGAUAUGGGAACAUAUGUAUAUCUUUUCACUUUUGAUGUCUAGUGUUAGUAAUACAUAUAACAUCUAUAGUGUUUUGUAUCAUCUAAGAGAAUAUUGAUGUAGGUACUGACAAAUGAUUCAUUUCGUAAACAGAUGAUGUAAAUUUACGGUAUCGAUAAAUACGAUACAGUAAAUGUAAUUUCUCUUAUGAUUGUCUUAAUAACAUCUUCUUUUCUCCAGCGUACUUUAUGGUAAGAAUUACAGUAUUUAAUACAUAUAACCUACAAACUGUGUGUUAACUCUUUAUGUUCUCGGUAAGGUUCUUGGUCAGCAGUGGGCUGUGAGUAGAGAAGUUUGGUGGGAGUUACAAGUUACACGUGGAUUUUCGACUGUGUGUGUGUGCAUGCGAGGUUGGCCCUUAACCCCCAUGUUGUUCAAGGGUCAACUGUACUUUAAAAACCUAGGUAAAAGUUUGUAAAAGCUGAGAGGCAGUACGGUGGUGUGGUCAUGAGGACAUCCCACUGUUAUCCAACCUGGGCAAGCUGGUUAACCACCCCAGGCCUCAGUUUCCCCAUCGGUGACCAGGGCAGCUUGUUGGGCUGUGAGCACUGAGUGAGGGAACAUCCAGCAGGUGUUUAGACAGGGCCUGGCUCGCCCUAACGGCUUAGUAAUUGUUAGCUUUUUUCUGACGUUAUUCUGCACGUAGGUCGACCUGUAUCUUGUGUAUUUAAAGACAAGACCGACCCACUCUCUCACUUAAACCCCACUAUUUCCCUGCACCCUGGAUGCCGGCUGCGCCGAAAGCGUCUUGUUCCAGAGCUUCAGGCUGUGCUCAGCUCGCUGCCUGGAAUUCUCCCCCCUCCUUCACUUCUCUCCAAGCCACACCUACACCUCCAAGGCUCCGGGGUCCAGGGGCGAACCUGAUGGGCCUCAGUGCCAUGUGAGACCUGGCUGAACCCUGUCUAUCAUCUAGCUUGCUGGCCCUCAGCGUGAUGUCGGGAGAUGAAGCAUCCCGCUUCACAGCCGUCCACCAGCCGAAAGGUCCCCCGCCCUCCACGUGCGCUGGGUCACGUGUGCGCCGACCCUGACCGCACCGCUUUGGUACCCAGAGAAUGAAUUUACCAGGUGGCACCUGGUGGGAUGUGGCCCCGGGAGACUCUUCCUCUCCACUGUACGGGUGUCACCAAGGUCCUCCCAGGUCUCAGCUCGAGGGGGCACUGGGCUCUUUGGCUGCCCGAGAUGCACAGAGGCACCUGGGCAGGUGGCGGGCGGCACAGCUGCUUCUGGGCCCUCCCCGCCUUCCCCUCCCCAGGGUGGGUCCUCACCUAGCGCUGUCACGGUGUGCUGUCUCUGGGUCGUGGGCACCUGUGGGUGCCUGUCUGGGAAAGGAAGGGACCCCAGCACUCGGGCAGCUGCCUCGGAUGCUGGGAAACACACUUGUCCCCGAAGGAGGGGGCGUUCCUCAGUCUGACACAGUGGGUGGUCUCCUGUCUUUGGCUAAAUGCCCUUAAACCUUCCACUGCUCCGAUAUAACCAACUCUGCUCCCCUAAAUGAUACUUGAAAUUUGCUCUCUUUAUAUAGCUAAGGACUCCAGGUUGACAAUUCAAAAGCCAAAUCACACCUUCAGAGAAGCUGCUGCGGGUCCUGUGCCUUUUACGGAGGCCAGGUAAGUCCUCAGGAAGCGGGGAGGCCCUCACGGGGAGAGGUUUGGGCUGGACACGUGCCACAUGAACUUGGACCUUCAGGGCCCCUGGCCACGUGGGGCUCAGCUUCCCACGCUGAGUCACUCUGGGCACACGGGGCGUCCACGGGGACCUCAGGGUCCUUAGCCUGCACCCGGGAAGCCCUCGGGAGAGGUGCUCACACACACAGCACUCACUGUUCCUUGAUUUUAUUGGCCGCAGUCCUUCCGACCUCCUUCGUGUGGGCCUGGGCUUUGCAUCCGUGCCACAGGUAGAUGAGGGCUUUGUGGACGUUGAGGACGACCAUGGACGUCCUGGACCUCAGGCUGCUGCAGUGACAGGCCACCUCCAGCAAGUUCCCUUCCACGGGCACUUCUCCGCGCACACAGUACAGCCUCCACUCGCCUGCAGGGGGCACCAGUGGCACAGUCAGGACGUGGCGGGCAGGGAGGGGGCCUGGAGGGAAGGGGAGCCUGCAGGGCAGCCCACGCCCCGCCUCCUUUCUGUGUCUGGAGGGGCAGGUGGAGGCGAGGCCAGGCUGCGGUCUUACUGAGUCCCAGGAAGCCAAUUUUGUUGGAGUUAUAGUUAGAAGCAGGCUGCCCAGAGUGCACGAUGCAGAAAAACCAGUUUUACAUAAUUUAUUUAUAAAGAUCUAGGUAAGUCAUAACAGGCAUAUUUUUUUAAGAGGCUCUGAAACUAUGAUUUCUUUUUUGUUUUUUGGAUGCUGGUCAACAAAAAUCUCGUAAUUUAGAAGAGAAGAUCACUAGUUUUUUUUUCCCCCUCCAGGAUCCAGUUUAAGGUCGAGUCAUCUUGCGGCCUCCUUUAUGCAAAGCUGCUUUCUGAAGGCAACUCCAUGGAAGGAAGGGGGAGGGAGGCACCCAGGAAGCUGAUUUAUAAGGCAGACAUCAGGAGGCCUUCGCUGGUCAGGCCGCAGCUACGUGAAGAGAGAGUUACUCUAAAGCCCACGCCUAUAAAAUACCUUCCCGGAGAGGAGAACAGAGUCGAAUUCCAGCCGCAAAAGUGACUCACUCUGUGCGUUGUCUUCUUCCUCCUCCCGUCUCCCGGAGUGGACCACCAUCCCUCCCUGGAAACACUGCAGGAAACAGGGGGGCUCCUUGCCCUGCAGGACCUGGACCUUCCGAUUUAAACACAUUACAGUGAGUCACGUGUCCUGGUUUUGCAGAGUCAUAAAAAUAACACAUGCCUGUUGUCGAAAAUCUGAAAAAUUCUGAGAAGUACAAAUAAAGGCCACCGAUAAUACUGUGAUUUAUGGAGAACACUACUACAGUUCUGGCGUGUAGCUUUCCUAUAAUACAAAGUAUUUUUCAGGUAUACAUUUUUCCCAAAUAGGAUCGCUGUUUUUUAUGUUGCUUUAUCCCUGGAUUUUCUUCAGCUGACGUUUUUCUGUCGUCACAUAAGAUUCUUAACAUGAAUUUUGAUAUUUUAAUGGUAGUGUUCCACGGUACGGGUAUAACGUGAUUAACUUAAACAUGUUUUUAAUAAAGAAAAUCUCUCAGCAGUGAGAAUGACUAA